GAAAGGGGGCAAAGCAGGAUUUGAGAGGAACUGUAGCAUUUUCUCUGUAUCUUGCCUCAGUGUCCUAGACUCCAAAGGCAGGAGAAAGCGGGUAGGUAUUCCCACUCUCUGCUCACUGCUUCCGGCUCGGAAGCAGAGGGAAAUGGGGAAGAUAACACAGAUAAAAACAGCAACUCCACCCAAAUGACUCAAAUGAAGGCACAUCUCUGAGUCUUUGUGUUUUCCUGAAACUCCAGGCCUGAACCCAGGAGAGAACUGUCCAGCUGUCUGUGCUCUAAUGGGAACCAUAGAAGUCUCCAGAAAGCCUCCGACCUGCUCUCUUCUCACUCUGGCUCUGUUUCCUUCUUUGGUGAGAAGACACACAGGACAGACAGCAGCAGAGCGGCACAGGGACGUGCAGGUGUGGGUGUGUGUGCAGGAAUGUUCAUGUACAAUCCACACUGCUACAAGGAGUAGGCAGAGAAAGGUGUCCAGGAGAAGAAAACAAACGGGGAUUGAAGCUGCAUAAGAAAAUACUCUGGGCAAUAAUGCAUGUUAAGUGAAAUGCCUUCUCUGUGAAAAGAAACACACAGAAAUACAGACAUGCUCCAAAGUGUGACCCAGAAGAAUGCUGGAAGGAGAGACUCCAGCUGGGAGAGGUGGGUGGCUGACAACGUGGCCUGAACUUGGAUCUCUUGAGCUCAUCUUUCUGAGAAUAGAAGACAUUCUCGCCUCCGAUUUUUGUUGUCCCCACCGUGCAGGCUCCCAAGGGUGCAAGAUCACUCCUUUCAGGUUCUCGUUCAGGUUCUCUGGGGCGGAGACUGGCAUCUUUAAAAAUAACGCUACUUUGAAAACAGUAUGGAGGUUUCUCAAAAAAUGAAAAAGAGAAUUAGCAGCAAGUUCUCUUCUGAGUAUUUACCUGGAGGAAAUGAAGACAGUAACUCGAAAAGAUAUUUGCACCCUCCUGUUCAUUGCAGCAUUAUUUACAAUACCCAAGGUGUGGAAGGAACCUAUGUUUAUUAAUGGAUCAAUAAAUGAAAUGUG